UUUUUUUUUUUUUUUUUGGUCUUUUUGUCUUUCAGGGCCACACCGUGGCAGAUGGAGGUUCCCAGGCUUGGUCAUUCAGGCCAGCCUAAAAUUGCAGCUGGUGUAGGGAAACGGAGACCCCAGACACUCACCCAUCCACAAUUUCACCCAGACUACUGCCAAGAUAAGAGGCAAAAAGCACAGAAAAGGACUUCUUAUGUCACCUGAGUUGAGGGCUGGCUGAAAGUUGAGGGUAUAGGAGGAACACUGAAAAAAAUAAAUAAAACUGUAGCAUCCAGGGUCUCACAGAAGUCACCAGGUAAAAGCGAUCCAUUCCUGAAGGAACCUGAAGUCUCUGAUCAUGUGACAGUUCACUUGCAACAACAGAGCAAUAAUUCAGUCCAUCUACUGAGCAAACUGACUCAUUUCCCCCCUCCACAGAUACCAACAUAUGCAGAAUAAGAGACAUAUCCAUGUCUUAGCUUAAUAAAUAUUUACCUCACCAUAAUGUCAUGCAGCCAACCAAAACUUCCAAGACACCAAAACAAAGCAAGAAAAGAUACCCAUUGCCAAGGGAUAAUGCUAUCAACAUAAUCAGACCCUGAGAUGGCAGAAAUGCUGAAACUAUCAAAUAGACACUUUGUGAUUAAAACGUAAAAAUAUAUAGAGAAAAAGACAACAUGAAUAAACAAAAAUUCAGCAAAGAGGUGGAAAAUGCUGUAAAGUCCUAUGAAAAUAUUAACAAAUUAUUUUAUAUCAAAGAUGAAGAAUGCUUUCCCUGGGCUUACAAAUAACUAGACACAAUAGGAAGAACUGGUAAAUUUGAUAGAUCAAUAGAAAUGACUCUGACUGAAAACUGAAAAGGGGUAGGAAUGCAGAUAAUCCAAAACCUAAGAAACAAUAUAAGUUGGACUAAAGCACUUGUAAAAUAGUCCAGAAGAAGAGAUGGAAAAGGGGCAGAAGAAAUAUUCAAAAAUAGAUGAAAAUCUGAAAAAUCAGGAAUGAUAUUAACUAGAGAUCAAAGAAGCUUGUAGUUAUCCAAGCGGGAUAACUACAAAUAACAACACAUCUCUGCACUUCAUAGCAAAAGUUAAAAAAAAAAAAGAAAUAUUACCUACAGAGGAACAUAGAUCAGAAUAACAAAAGAUAUCUCUCAGAAACUAUGUAAGAUAGAGGAUAACAGAACAAAAUCUUUAAAAGAAAGUUGUUGACCUAGAAGUCAAAACCCAGAUAAAAUAUUUCAUAAACAAAGGAAAACAGACUUUUUCAGGCAAGCCAGAGCUGAGAAAAGCCACUGCCUGCAGACCUACACUAUAAGAAAUGCUAAAGAAAUUUUUUCAGGCAAAAGUAAUGGAUACUAGAUCAAAACUUACCACAAGAAAAUAAAGAACUGGGAAUAAUGAACCCAACUAGUAUCCAUGAGGACAAGGGUUCGAUUCUUGGCCUCACUCAGUACGUUAAGGAUCCAGCAUUGCUGGGAGCUUUGGUGUAGGUCUCAAAUGCAGCUUGGAACUUGUGUUGCUAUGGCUGUGGUGUAUGCUGGCAGCUGCAGCUCCAAUUUGACCCCUAGCCUGGGAACUUCCAUAUGCUGCAGAUGCGAGCCUGAAAAGACAAAAAAAGAAAAAGAAAAUAAAGAACUAUGGAACUAGAAAAAAAAAUUGUUAAAUACAAAAGAUGCAUAAUUGGCUCUUUAAAGCAAAAACAAUAACUAGGGAAUGUACAGUUUAUAACAUGUAUAAAUAAGAUGUAUUAAGAAAACAGCAUGAACAAUGGGAGAGAAAGAAAAUGGCAGCAUACCAUUGUAAGAUUCUGACAUCCUACAAGAAGUGGGAGAAGUUAAUGUUGUAUAUAUUGUAAACCCUAGAGUAACUACUAAAAAUAUAAAAGAGAUAUAAUUAAGAAGCGAAUAGUAGAGACAAAAUAGAAUAUUAAAAAAAUAAUAAUAAUUAAGCCCAAAAAAGGCAAGAAAGAGGAAAAUAAGAGGAAAGAACAGCUAAGACAAAUAGAAAACAAAUAGGGAUUCCCACUGUGGCUCAGUGGAAAGCAAAUCUGACUAGCAUCCAUGAGGACGCAGGUUCGAUCCCUGGCCUCGCUCGGUGGGUUAAGGAUCUGGCAUUGCUGUGAGCUGUGGUGGAGGUUGCAGACACAGCUUGGAUCUGGCCCUGCUGUGGUUGUGACAUAGGCCAGCAGCUGCAACUCCAAUUCGACCCCUAGCUUGGGAAUC
rnacentral:lncRNA from 1 species